rnacentral:lncRNA from 1 species
AGAAGUGGGUUGAGUGGUCUCCAAAGAAUGACUUAAACAAAAAUAAAGCAAAAGAAAUACUAACUUCUAAUCAACUAACAACUAAAAUUUAAUUUCAAGUCAUUUACUCUUAUGCACUUUAAUUUCAAGCUUUUAUUCAUUUGCCAUUAUUCAUACCAUUCAAAUUAUUUACUUUAAUGUCAUUUUUACUUUGCCCAUUUGGGCUAUAAUUUGUG